UACGUAGGGUGCGAGCGUUGUCCGGAUUUAUUGGGCGUAAAGGGCUCGUAGGCGGCGUGUCGCGUCGGGUGUGAAAGACCGGGGCUUAACCCCGGUUCUGCUUCCGGUACGGGCAUGCUGGAGUGUGGCAGGGGAGACUGGAAUUCCUGGUGUAGCGGUGGAAUGCGCAGAUAUCAGGAGGAACACCGGUGGCGAAGGCGGGUCUCUGGGCCAUUACUGACGCUGAGGAGCGAAAGCGUGGGGAGCGAACAGG
rnacentral:rRNA from 1 species